rnacentral:rRNA from 1 species
GAUGAACGCUGGCGGCGUGCCUAAUACAUGCAAGUCGAGCGAACGGACGCGAAGCUUUCUUCUCUGAUGUUAGCGGCGGCCGGGUGAGUAACCCGUGGAUACCCUCCCUAUACGACUGGGUUACCUUCGGGAAACCGGAGCUAAUCCCGGAUAAUAUUUUGUACCGCAUGGUUCAACAGUGAAAGACGGUCUUGCUGUCACUUAUAGAUGGAUCCGCGCUGCCUUAGCUGGUUGGUAAGGUAACGGCUUACCAAGGCCACGAGGCAUAGCCGACCGCAGAGGGUGAUCGGCCACACUGGAAGUGAGACACGGUCCAGACGCCUACGGGAGGCAGCAGUAGGGAAGCGUCCGCAAUGGGCGGAAGCCUGACGGAGCAACGCCGCGGGAGUGAUGAAGGUCUUCGGAGCGUAAAACUCUGUUAUUAGGGAAGAACAUAGGUGUAAGUAACGGUGCACAGCUUGACGGUACCUAAUCAGAAAGCCACGGCUAACUACGUG